rnacentral:tRNA from 1 species
UUUCAAGUAGUUUAAGAAGAACAAAAUUUUGAAGAAAUUUAAGUAGUACAAACUCUUGGAAG